GCUCUUCAGGGAGGGUGUGCCCCUCCCCCCACCAGCAACAGUUAACUGCCUCCAAGUCCUCUGGGGUAGACCUGGCCAUUCCUAGAAGCAGCUUAGCCUGCCUCACCUGGAGCACCUGGAUCACCACCACACAGGCUUUGUGGGAUCGGAGUCCCUUGAAUUCACACAUGCUGUCCCAGUAUUGGUUUUCCAGACUGUCAGCAAUGCUUCUUAAAGGCAGGGGAUUCUCUGUUCCUGAGAAAACAGUUCCUGGGCAAGCAAGGGCAGAUAGAAAGCAGCAACAAGACCUGUGUCGACGGCCCUUGACCGCCUCUGUUUUAGGACGGAGGUUGUUGCCUAAAAUUGGGAGCAACUGGGAGCGUGAAGUGAUCAUUUCAUUGCCAUUCCUGUUCAUGAACAAGUAGAGGCCCAGGCAAGUUUCUGCUUCUGUUGUGGCUUGUGUUCGUCAAGGUGCAGGGAGUCUUUCUUUUACCAGUCUCUACUGCCCUCUUGUGGUCUUCAGCUCCUGGAGUGAUUGCACCCUGAUGAAGAUCUUUGCCUGGAGAUUUGCCCAAGGUUCAAGCAGAGUCCAGAUAAAUAAUGCAAAGUGGUGUGAAUGAAGUGGUCCAUCUUCCCAGACAGACCUUUACAGAGAUGACAGGAACCACAGACAUGAGAGAGCCAAGUGUCUGCCGGUGUCAGUGGGAGUUUUGAAAUGGCCAGAUGCUUAUAGGAAACUGCAAAGCUCAAAUGAUAAUAGAGCAUUUGUGUCUUCUGAAUGUUCUAAAACCUUCUUCCACACUCAGGCACCGCAAACCACACAACUAAGAGUGGAUCGGAAGAGGCGGGGGAGGCAGUGGGCAUUGUCAGGGACCCCCGAGGGGGCUGAGAGGCAUGGUGUGGGGGAAUGGUGAGAGAUGGUGGUAGUUUUCACACGAGGGCAGGAUUCAAAUGAAAAAGUCAACUCUGGGGUGUUCAGCUAGAAUUGAAGAGCCAGAAGAAGCCGGACCAGAAGAAUCCAAGCAAGUGCCCAAACUGUCCCAGCCAGGCUUGACACUGAAGCUCGCUUUCCUCCGUGGUGGUUUAGAUAGGAAAGAUGAACAGAGAGCUGUACCGUGCCACCCCCACCCUGGUCCUCCCCAAAAGGGGCUCGAACCUGGGUUUUUUUACACAGAGGUCUUUGUUUCUGGUUUUUUUUUUUUUUUUUUUUAUGAGUUUGCCUCUGAAAUGCUGUUCAAUCCACUUGUUCAAUCAGUGAAAUGUAAGGAUUUUCUAAACUCUCUCUAAUUGACAGAAACAAGCAUUUUGAAAAGGAGAGCCAACAACCAUUAAAUUUAGCACAGAACUUCCACAGUGUUCUGUUUUAGUCCAUGUGCAUGGAACAUUUUAAAACCAUCCUGGUUUUUAAAGCCCAGGCAUCCAAUUAUAGCUCUGUGAGACCCCUGCUUCCAGGAUUGGCUGCCAAGGCACUGUUCUGUGUUCUCUGAAGUCUGUGGCCAUCAGCUCACAGGGAAGGAGUGAUGCUGAGCAUGGUUGCUGGACCCUCCCAGUCACAGACUGGAAUGCCACAUAUGGUAUCCUUACUUUCUCUGGGGCCUCAGUUUUGUCGUCUGUAAAAUGGACUGAAAUGUUACCUCAUCAGAGAUGAACUGGAUUUUUAAAUUUCCUAUAUUUUUGUUUGUGAAACUAACUUUUAAUGGCUGAGCUAUUUCUCCAAGUCAGAUCUUUUAUUUCUACUGGACCGCAACUGGGUGUUGCUUCAAUGGCAGUGUCUAGCCAUAGCCAUGACAGGUGGCAAGCAGUAUCAGAAGAGAUUCAGGAUCGUUAGAGAGGAAGAGACGAAGCUUCAGCAGGAAGACUCCCAAUGAGGUAGACACAGAAAGCCAGGCAGUUCGCAGGGUUCUACUGCCAGUGUCGGUCUUCAGAGGAAAGGGGCGGGGGGUUUCUGGAGAAGGAGUUUCAGUGCAAGAGAGAGGUGUAAAUCUAUACCUUUUUCUGUGUGUGUGUGAAGGGGGGCACCAGCCUGGUGCAAGAGACUGCUGGGAGUGGGGGUUACUUUUCUGUGGUGCUCUGGGUUUCGGGGUUCUGGGGAGCCAUGGAAAGUUGAGGUGUAGACUGUGUUGCAGAGUGUAGCAGAGAGGAGGAAGCAGAUCACGAGCAGGCUCAAGGGCGGAGUCCUAGGUCCUCGAGCUGUGACCCAGAGGCUUCGAAAGUGUUUGGGGGACUUUUGCACAGUAGUUCAAGAAAGAGCCAACGGGAUCUUCUAAUGUGUUAUUGUGACCUUCAAGGAUGCUGUGCUGGGGACUGGAACAGUGUGGGGUACAGAAAGGUGACCUCAGAUACAAAAUGGGGCAUGGUGGCAUUGCUUCCUGCACCCCACCCCCACCCCAAGCCAUCAGCUUUGUGCAAAUGUGGCCACUCAGCUAUGGCCCUUGCUGAGACCAAAGACCCUGCUUAUUUCUGUGUGGCCUGUCGGCUGAGAGACACACAGUCUCUGGGGGCAGGCAUGGGCUAGUUGCUGACAGAUUUAUUUUCAGAAAAGCCCACAAGGUAAAGAUUAGUUUGUGGCCAAGCAAGAGCAAAGCCAUGCUGAGGUAGGUGUGUGUGUGUGUGGGUGGGGGUGGGGGUGGGGGUGGGGGGUGACUGCACUCUAGCUUUGCUGAGGUGUCGGGGUGUGUCAUACCCACACUGGUAACAUUCCCUGUCUCGAACAAGCUAGGGUGUUUCUCCUAGGGUCAAUCAUGAAAUGGGCACAAGAAAUACAUAGACUAAGAGCAAAUGGAACACACUUUGGAAGGAGGCUCUGUGGUGUAACACACAACGAGCUGAGCCAUAUGGCCUCUCUGUCCCAGGUGGCGAAGUGGAGCAAACCACCCACCCGCGGCCUAGAUUUGCUGUGGCUUGGGUGUGAACUGUCCCCAGAGGCUCAUGUGUUUGAAUACUUGGUUCCCACUGGUGGCCCUGCUUAGGAAUGAUUUGGAACAUUUAUCAGGGAGAGCUUUGCUGGAGGACAUGGUCAGUGGGGAUGGGCCUAGCCCUACCUCCUCUCUAGUCUCUGUUUCCUGUGCACAGAGGCAAUGUGACCAGUUUCUUUGCCUCUUUCACCAUGCCUACUGCACUGUUUGUUAGGCGUUUUGUUAGAGUGAGGAAGAGGUCUAGCUCUAAGCACCUUUUAUAUUUACUUGCUUAACUGUCCAAGCAGCCUUGCAAGCCUCUCUUCCAUACUGGACUUAGAGUCUGAGGAGAGGCAGGCCAGCCAGAUGACAGAAUGCCAAGGCCACACAGCCUGGCAGUGGCAAAGAUGGGCUUCAGCUUAGGAAUGUGACACUUCCUGCUACUGUACCAUGCUGCUUCCUGGAAUGCCAAGGGAGGUGAGAGUGACCAGCCGCGGAGAGGACCGAUCUCUUCAAAGGGGGUAGCGAGUUGGGAAGAACCUCAGUUUACCUGCUGGGAGGGGGAUCGGGAGAGCUGAUAGCUUUGCUGACUCAUUUUCCCCUUCCCCUUCUUUUAUUAAAGAAUAUUCAUUUAUGUGUGUGUGCCUGCAUGCAUUUAUGUGCAUGUGUGUGUGCCUGCAUGCAUUUAUGUGCAUGUGUGUGUGCCUGCAUGGUUUUAUGUGCAUGUAUGUGUACCUGCAUGCAUUUAUGUGCAUGCGUGUGUGCCUGCAUGCAUUUAUGUGCAUGUGUGUGUGCCUGCAUGCAUUUAUGUGCAUGCGUGUGUGCCUGCAUGCAUUUAUGUGUAUGAUGGGCAUUCAGGUGCCUGUGGGUGGCCAGAGAGGUGCAGGGAGGAAGCUUCUGAGCCGCUUCUCCAGCCUCACCCCUCUCUGGUUCCCUUUUCAGUCAUGUUAGGAAAUACAGCCUUAGGAUUUGAAUAUGACUUCUUUGUAGAAGGGUUGUGUCCAACAUAGUUAGAAGGACAAAGACACACCCCUUAGGCCUGUCACCUCACACAGGUAAAAGGUUUAGGUGGCUCAGAAGGUUCCAUCAGAGUGGCUCAUCCACCGGAAGUGUUUGCAACUAUUUACUCUUAGGAGACAGAAGGGGCUACUCCAAGGGAAGUCCUGUCUGGUAACUUGGUGUAUUCAAACCUCUCCUCCCUGCCCCCCAAAACUGUUUCUCCAAAGAAGCCCAGCAUCGAGAAACAGGCUUUAAAAAGACAGACAGCAGAGGGCAGAGGAGACAGAGCUCUUGAAAAUAACCCUGAAUGGUCCUUACACUCAUCUGCAUACAGCACCAUGAAACAAACGCUGGAGCCUCCCCGACCUAGGUGUCAUUUAGAAUACAGAAAGGGUGGGAGGCAGCAGUCAUUUGAUGACACAUGUGGAUUCAGGCUACCCAAAGGAAGGAGGAUCUUCCUGGAGCUGCCCAGUAGCAGUAGCCCCUAGAGAGGUGUAGAUCCACCUCACCCUUGUUACUUGUUAGAACAGUGAGAAUCCUAGGACCAAGCCACAUGUGGGCAGGCCUGUUCUCACCCUCCUCAGAACAUUUCUGUGCAUUAACAUGUGUUGUAUGGAACAGUUCCACUGUGCCUGUGGAUAUGUUUUGCUAGGCACCAAUCCGUGUGACUGGGUAACAGGGCAUUCUUGUUAGUAUGCAUGUCCAGGAGGGCAUAGCUGGGUUCUCAAUGACUCUACACACUGAUUACUCUUCAGAAGUUAGAAUAAAACAACCCAUACAAGUCUUUUUUUUUUUUUUUUCUUUUCCCAGUUCAAGUUACCCCAGGCCAGGUGACUCUCCACCCACCAAAGGCCCUUGUAAGUCAGCUUGGCCUUGAACUUUGCAUGUAGCCUAUGGUGACCUUGAACUUGUAGGUGACCUUGAGUGCUAGGGUUACAGGCAGGUGCCUCCUCCAUGCCCUGCUCCUUAUCCCAUGCUGUGGAUCAAACCCGGGUGCCACACCCACACACCCACAGCCACACCCACAGCCACACCCACCCACACCCACCCACACCCACCCAUGGAGCAAGUACUCUUCCCUGAGUGACAUCUCCAGCACGUUUCCAUGCUCCUAACAAAAUCCGCUUUCCUGAGGAUGUGGAGGCUCUCAAGGAACUGGAGAUGCCUGAGAUUUUCCCCAGGGAAACAAGCUGGGAGACAGGCAUUGGCCCAUCCUGGUCAACUGAAGGGAAGGUCACCAGGGUUCCCGUCCCUCAGCUCUACACCCCGGGAUAGAAGCCCAUUGUGACUAGAAAGCUUCACCAUCCCAAAUACAUCAGGGACAAUGAACCAAUACCCUCUUAUACAGGGGUGGGGGGGAGGGGGUGGGGGAGGGGGUGGGGGAGGGGGUGGGGAGCUGACUGGAGCAGCCACACAGGCCCAUCGGUGUGAGGUAGCUGCAGAAAGCCUGCAGUUCACAGCCCGGUUCCCACAGCCUGAGUGAGUGAUGGCGUCCCUGAGCCCGAUCGGAUCCAGAGAGGGGAAAAUGGCUGGUUCUCAGCCUUCCUUACACUGUGAUGCGGUCCUUCAACAGCUCUCCACGCUGUAGUGACCCCCCAUCAAUAAAAUUAUUUUUGUUGCUA